ACCCUACGGGGGGCAGCAGUGAGGAAUAUUGGUCAAUGGGAGAGAUCCUGAACCAGCCAAGCCGCGUGAGGGAAGACGGCCCUAUGGGUUGUAAACCUCUUUUGUCGGAGAACAAAACCCGGGACGUGUCCCGGACUGCGUGUAUCCGAAGAAAAAGCAUCGGCUAACUCCGUGCCAGCAGCCGCGGUAAUACGGAGGAUGCGAGCGUUAUCCGGAUUUACUGGGUGUAAAGGGAGCGCAGGCGGCACGGCAAGCCUGAUGUGAAAGCCCGCGGCCCAACCGCGGGACUGCAUUGGGAACUACCG
rnacentral:rRNA from 1 species